rnacentral:rRNA from 1 species
UACGUAGGGUCCGAGCGUUGUCCGGAAUUACUGGGCGUAAAGCGUGCGUAGGUGGUUUGUUAAGUCUGAUGUGAAAGCCCUGGGCUCAACCUGGGAAUUGCAUUGGAUACUGGCAGGCUAGAGUGCGGUAGAGGAUGGCGGAAUUCCCGGUGUAGCAGUGAAAUGCGUAGAGAUCGGGAGGAACAUCCGUGGCGAAGGCGGCCAUCUGGACCAGCACUGACACUGAGGCACGAAAGCGUGGGGAGCAAACAGGG